AUUGAACGCUGGCGGCAUGCCUUACACAUGCAAGUCGAACGGUAACGCGGGGCAACCUGGCGACGAGUGGCGAACGGGUGAGUAAUGCAUCGGAACGUGCCCAGUAGUGGGGGAUAGCCCGGCGAAAGCCGGAUUAAUACCGCAUACGACCUACGGGUGAAAGCGGGGGACUCGCAAGAGCCUCGCGCUAUUGGAGCGGCCGAUGUCAGAUUAGGUAGUUGGUGGGGUAAAAGCCUACCAAGCCGACGAUCUGUAGCUGGUCUGAGAGGACGACCAGCCACACUGGGACUGAGACACGGCCCAGACUCCUACGGGAGGCAGCAGUGGGGAAUUUUGGACAAUGGGCGCAAGCCUGAUCCAGCCAUGCCGCGUGCGGGAAGAAGGCCUCGGUGUAACGAC
rnacentral:rRNA from 1 species